GAGCAUCCAGAAGUUUUAUGUGAUGACAGCACGACAGAAAAGCUGACUCGUUAUGCCGAGGAGGUUAGGAGGAAAGCAGGAGACGAUGAUCUAGAUUGGAGGGAGGCACCUUUCGAUCCGGAUGCAGCAUAUGUUGCUGGUGGUGGGCUACCACAUGGGAGGUUGGGGAUCGGUGUUGGGGUUGUGAGUC